GGACCAUCCCAUAGCUCAAUGAAAGAACAUCUGCCUUGUAAGCAGGAGGUCCCAGGUUCAAUCCCCAGCAUCUCCA